rnacentral:tRNA from 1 species
GCUGUGGCUCAAAGGAAGAGCAUCUGCUUAGCAUGCACAAGGCCCCAAGUUCAAUCCCUGGCCUCUCCA